CAUAUCAAUAACUGCUAUUUCCACCAAUAUAUUCACCUUUAUAAUCUCCAACUGUAAAGUGCACCCUGACAGCUUUUGCGCACACAUAUCUUCGUUCCAAUUGCUAGAAUUCUUCACACAAAACUACCAUUCACAUUAUAGUGUUUUACAUAAACACAAACUCAUUCUCUUUGCUGAACUACAAUCAGAUUUCAGCAUUCAAUCUUUCUUCUUUUCAAAUAAUACCAAUCACAUUUCCAUUCCUUAAUUCACUUCACAAUAUUCAAAAACUUUCAAUCCUCUUAUUCAAAGAAAAUAACAAAUAAAAGAAAAGAGGUAGCACCAAGCUUACCUUGGCUCACAACUAUCACAGCGAUGGCACCUUAAUUAACUACUACAACUCCUAUAUACUUUUCCGUGAUUCUCUAGAUUCUAACCGUAAUUCUGUAAUCAACCGCUUUUAAGAACUAAAUCACUCAUCCGUCCUCCUAAAUUUUCUAUUAUAUGGACUAUUAAUAUAUUUUAUCAAUAUCUUUAAAAAAUGAAUUAAUAUCUAUUCUACAUAGCCCCAGUCCUAUCUAUGUAGCAUCCUCGCAAACACUCAAUUGAUACCUAUCUAAAAAAUUAUCUUACAAAACUCUACAAAAAUUAUGAUCCCUCUGGCCUACCUAAUUAAUCAAUUACCACAGUAUCUGUUAUUGGUUCCACCGAUUCUAGUUCCAACUACAAAUCUUUGUCUUCUUUCAAUCCUUCCAUUGGCUCCUGCCUCAACUCAGCUGAAAGAUCUUCAUUGUACUCGCCCAGUUCACGGACUUGAGCUUCCAAUUUCAAGAUCUCCACAUUUCGAAGUUCCAAUUGUUGUUGCUGCUAACUCAUCCAUUCUAGAAUAUCUUCAAUUGACACUUGUGACCGGCUCCUCACUGUUAACUCUUAACUAGAACUACUACUCUCGAAAAUACAAAGAAUACAAGAAAAUGGCACUCUAGUCAACCCAAAACAAUACCACAGAAUGACUUUAACUGGUGCCCCACUCUUAUUCUUUUACCUAGUAGUGAUAACGACAAUAUGUUAUUCAUACUGUUUGUGAAAGGUAAUGAGAAGUAAUCUUUCUUGGUGGUUGCAUUAAGUUUCUGAAAAUCUUGACAUAUCAUGAUUUUUCAAUUUUUUUUGGUACCAUCACGAUUGGGACAUCCAUGCAUUAUGUAGAUUAGGAUAAAUAAAAUACAUAUUGAGAAGUUUAUCCAAUUCCUCUUUCACUAAAAGGGAAUAUUUUGGAUUAAGUCGGUGUUGUCUUUGAUGAACUGGCAUAAUACCUUCCUCCAAAAUAAUAUGGUGCUCACACACGUCAACUGGAAUCUCUUUCAAAUCCGCAUACGACCACGCAAAGUUAGAUUUGUGACGGACAAAAAACUGUUUUCAAGCAUCUAAUUCUGUACCGAUAAUAUCGGCAUAUAUUUUAAUUAGUUGUAGUAUUUCGUUGGUGCCCAAGUUAAUGGAUUGAUACACAGGGUCUUCAACAACCUCUGAUUUAAUUAUAUUCUCCUGAUCCGAAUAUCUUAUAUUAUCCAAUAUAUAGGAACCACCCAAAUCUGGUUCCAAUGUGCUGACUCUAUUGACUGCGGGAUUGUUCAUCCAUUCGGCAAUAGCAUGAUCCAAGUUAGUCGCAUCUUCUUGAUGUAGUAAAUAUUCACCAGGGCUUCCACAUUGGUAGACUCAUGCCUUUGCUAUUGAAAUAUUUUGUCCUACUCCAAAUUGUAGUGAACCUAUAGCAUCAUCAUCUGCCUCAAUCGAUUGACUGUUGUUAUCCGAUGUAAAUUUUGAUUCUGGCAAUUGAGAUUCUCUAUAAUAUUAUACUGGAUACAUUUAUAAAACAAUCUAGUCAUGGCCUUUUCCAAUUGUCAAUGUGCCUUGGCUCCAACCGUUCUUAGUUUUGGCUUGAUAAAGCCAAGGUCUGCCGAAUAAAAUGGGAUACGAUAAUAUAGAACUCUGUAAUCAAAAUAUAAUAUAAUCAAUUUUGUAUGUCAAUUCCAUGAUUAUAGUGGCAAUAUUGCGUAAGAUUUCCAUUGGCUUUACCCAACUAUGAUCUGCUAUUUGGAAGAUCAAUGUCGUAGAUAGCAAUUGCUUUAGAUCCAAAUCCUCUAUUGUAUCCACAUUCAUUAAAUUCACAUUGGAUCCACCAUCGACUUGUAUCCCUGGAAUUAAAAUGCCAUUGAUUGAUACAUCGAUUGUUGGUGCUCUCGGAUCUAGAUUUAAGCUAAUUUCAUAAAUUUCUUUAGUAUGGGAUCUUCGUCGUAGUAGCACUGAAUUCAAUGUAGAUCAAUAUUUUGGUGCUAUAGCCAAAAGUUGCUUCAUUGUAAUUGAAGACUGAAUAACAUCCAAAUUCUUCAAAAUAUCAUAGGAUUCCAUAUUUAGGAUAAUUCUCAAUGCCCUCUUUCUUUUUAUUGGUUUGAAUUUUAUUUCGUGAGGUAAGAUAUUCUUCCUUCCUAGACUCAGAAUUGAAACAACAGCCAGGGCUUCCUUAGAAUUCCUGCCCCUAAGAAGAUCUUUCAAUGGAUAGGACGUUUUUUGGAACUGCAUAGAGAUCAGAACUACUUGGAACAAAAUCAAAGCCUCCGUAAUUGGGACCUCAUUGGGUUGUACCACUGAGUCAGGUCUCAUACUAGGUACGAAGUUCGUAACAUGACCUAGAUUGGAUGGUCCUUUAAUUGGGUCAAAUUGGUCUUUUGCAUCGGAAUUACCUAAACGUUGAAUUGGUCAUUUUUUCUUUUGCUGACUCUGGGUAAGAAUGGUUUGGACACAUUCUACCCGAUUUACUGGUGAAUCUUGAGGACCUCAAUUUUUCUCCUCAAUUUUUUCUUGGCUUUGGAUCUGCUGAUCCUGAUUAUUGAAAUUCAAUGGAGCAUUAUAUUGAUGAUAUGUAUGCCCCAACUGCUUGCAAUUUCCACAAACUGGCGCAUAAUCAUCACUGGCUCUAGAAUUGGGACAUUUAUUGGCAUAAUGAUCAAUCUGUCUGUAACGGAAACAAUGAAGUGGUCUUCUUACAUCCCCAUCAGGCAUAUUGGAUAAUUCCACUGGUAUAUACCUACUAGGCUUAUUCCAUGUAGGGUUAGAAAAUGAUCCUGAUUGUCCCAUUAGUACUGAGGGAACUUGGUUUGAUGAUGUCGGUGGAACAUAUUGCUGAUACCUCUGUUGCUCCUUAUCGUAGUUCUGAGGGUUCGAUGCAAAUUCCUGAUUAAAAUUGGAACUUUGAAAGUUAUUGAAUGCUUGAUUUUGUCGAUUAAAUCGAUUUCCAUUCCAUCCAAACAUAUUUUCCAUUUGUACUUGAUUGACGUCCCACUGGGUUAGUGGGAUCAUAGUCUAAUUACUAAAUUAUUAUUAUUGUCUUUGCCAAUUCCAACAAUUUGCUGUUAGGUGCUUUUUUUCACAAAAUAUACAUUGACCCAUUAUUUGUGAGGAUGAGGGGCAUUCUGUUACAGAAUGACCAUGGCCCUUACAAUUACUGCACCAUACAUUGGUUCUAGUAUUGGUAUACUUUUGCCUCUUCUCCUUAUCUUUGGCCAUAUUGAUGGCCAUUUCCUCCAUUUUCUUCGUCAAAUUCAAUAACAAGGUUUCAUUGGAAUCUUUUAGGGCUGGCAUUAUUAGUAUCACUGCCGUAGUUAACGCUUGUUGUUGAUAUGGAAAAUAUGGAGCAUAUGCUGUUGUCACGUUUGGUGGUCUAGAUUGCAAUGGAAUGACAUUAAUUGGCCCCUGAAUAUUGGUAUUGGAAUUGGCCCUUGUUUUUAACAUCCAUGCAUAACUACCCACUGAUUCGUUCCAAGUCGGAUUUUGAUAUCUACCUUGAACUGGAAUCAUCGUAGCUCCUGCAUUUAAGAACUGAUCAUAAUGGCAUUCCUCUCAAACCAUAGCUCUAUUAAGGGACACAGCCAUCGUAAUGGGUUGAGCUUCCUUUACAAACAUUUUUAGGUCUGGCGGGUGCAAACCAUUGAUUAAUAUGGAUAAGAUAAAUACCUCCGAUAUUUGGUGAUUCGGCCACUUAUUAAGUAUAUCAGCCACUUGGCCAUAGUACGAUUCCAUCACCUCUCCUAAGAUCAUUUUGCUGUUCAUUAACAUCUCUCGAAGGUGGUCCUCAAAACCGAUUGGCCAAAAAUGAGAUAAAAAUACAUUCUUCAAUGCUUUCCAAUUCAAAAAUUGAUCCACUAGUUGGCGGUUGUACCAUUCAAAUGCAGUAUCUUUUAAGGUCGUUGGCAGCCAUCGCAACUAAAUAUCUUUAGUUUUGCCAUUAUUAGCUACACAUGCUAUAAGAAAUUGAGACAAAUAUUGAUCGGGAUCUGCACCUAGAAAUCCCCGAAAAGUAAAUAGUGGCACGAUACUAAUCGUACAAUCGCCUACUAUACCCAUUUGUACUGCAAUCGAAAUGGUUGGUCCUCCUGAUGCCAUUGAAUUUCUUGUUCUGCUAAACUUUAUUCUAAAAUAAUCUCUACUUUUUCUUAUUCUAAUUUCCGAGCUCUCAAUGCUCCUCGAUUUACUGUUAGUUUUCGCAAUUAGUUUUACUGGUUGAAUGGUAAGUAAAAACAUCAGAUUUUGAAAUACAAUAUAGUUAUCUUUAUUGGCAACCAAUUUGUGUCAAUCUCAAGAGCCACUAUUGCUCGUUUCAGCGGUACCCCCUACUGAAAAAAUACCCAAUGGAGUAUCAAAUCCUUCUACACCUCCUUUUCUUUGAAUUAACGGCCUCAAGAUUUCUACUGGAAUGUUAAUAAAAUUUCCCGCAAGUGUUCUUGAUAAUUUUUCUAACAGUACAUACGACUACAGAAUUAGCAGUCUGUCCAGUUUUUGAUAUGUUCAGAUGUGCCGACAAGCUUGCAACCAUGGUUUAAUCCAAUUCUCGAUGCUUCCUUUUAAGAUUACGUUCUUACUCCUCUCUAAGCAAGUUCUUUCCUUGCGCUCUUCCCUGCCUUUCUCUCAACUGAUUUAUUUUCCUUGAUGCAAUGCUCUCGUUCUUAUUAACCAUAAUCUAACUUCAAAUACUAUUGAAAUUAUCUUCCAUUGCCAAUUUUUUCACUUUUUUGGUAAUUAAUUCCUAAUACUCAAAGCUAUUAUCACUUCCCGGUAGUGGCACCAAAAUGUGAUUGCUCGUUUUAUUUAUUCCAAAUUAAUCUAAUGAAAAUAAAUCCGUGUAGGGGGAUUCGAACACGGGGAAUGACUAGUUGCUUAAGCGUUCACGUUAGGGUCACACAAUCAAUUACCUCUUGAAUGUAUUGUCUCUAUUUCCAAUAUGUGAACAAAUAAGGAAACUAUAAUCUCCUCCUUCACCUUAUCGGUCUCUUCCUUAUAGCAAUUCAGUCAUACCAAUAAUUGCUAUUUCCACCAAUAUAUUCACCCUCAUAAUCUCCAAUUGUAAUACUACGCCCUCACAACUUUCAACACACAAUUAUCCUCAUUCCAAUCACUGAAAUUAUUCACACGGAACUGCCAUUCACAUUACGGUAUUUUACACAAACACAGACUCAUUCUCUCUGCUGAACUACAAUCAGAUUUCAGCAUUCAAUCUUUCUUCUUUUCAAAUAAUACCAAUCACAUUUCCAUUCCAUAAUUCACUCCACAAUAUUCAAAAACUCUCAAUCCUCUUAUUCAAAGAAAAUAACAAACAAAAGAAAAGAGGUAGUACCAAGCUUACUCUGACUCACAACUAUCACAGCGAUGGCACCUUAAUUAACUUCUACAAUUCUUAUAUACUUUC
rnacentral:lncRNA from 1 species